rnacentral:rRNA from 1 species
CAGCAGCCGCGGGAAUACGGAGGGGGCUAGCGUUGUUCGGAAUUACUGGGCGUAAAGCGCACGUAGGCGGCUUGGUAAGUUAGAGGUGAAAGCCCGGAGCUCAACUCCGGAAUUGCCUUUAAGACUGCCGAGCUAGUAGGUGAGAGAGGUAAGUGGAAUUCCGAGUGUAGAGGUGAAAUUCGUAGAUAUUCGGAAGAACACCAGUGGCGAAGGCGGCUUACUGGCUCAUUCUAGACGCUGAGGUGCGAAAGCGUGGGGAGCAAACAGGAUUAGAUACCCGAGUAGUCCCUGUCUCUUAUAC